rnacentral:rRNA from 1 species
GAUGAACGCUGGCGGCGUGCUUAACACAUGCAAGUCGAACGGAAAGGCUCCUGCUUGCAGGGGUACUCGAGUGGCGAACGGGUGAGUAACACGUGGGUGAUCUGCCCUGCACUUCGGGAUAAGCCUGGGAAACUGGGUCUAAUACCGGAUAGGACGAUGGUUUGGAUGCCAUUGUGGAAAGUUUUUCGGUGUGGGAUGAGCUCGCGGCCUAUCAGCUUGUUGGUGGGGUAAUGGCCUACCAAGGCGUCGACGGGUAGCCGGCCUGAGAGGGUGGACGGCCACAUUGGGACUGAGAUACGGCCCAGACUCCUACGGGAGGCAGCAGUGGGGAAUAUUGCACAAUGGGCGCAAGCCUGAUGCAGCGACGCCGCGUGGGGGAUGACGGCCUUCGGGUUGUAAACUCCUUUCGCUAGGGACGAAGCGCAAGUGACGGUACCUGGAGAAGAAGCACUGGCUAACUACGUG